GUCUUGAACUCCUGACCUCAAGUGAUCUGCCCUGCCCACCUCAGCCUCCCAAAGUGCUGGGAUUACAGGCGUGAGGCACUAUACCUGGCCAAUAAACUUUUAUAUACAGAAUUAUCAGAGGUGCUAUUUACAGUAUAACUAAGAUAACAUGACAACCUCUUUCUGGAGAAAAAAUGUAAUGUAUGCAUAAUGGUAGAAAACUCAUGCUAAAACACUCUAACUAGUCUGAAUCCCUCAUGUGGUGUAUUUAAAUGUAACACCCUUCACAUUUGAUCAGGCUUUUAACCUAUGUCGUUAUCCAUGUGUUCUGACCAGACAGUGAUGACAGGGUGAGAGGCAGAGCAGGGAGAGGGUAGGAAACUUAUUUGGUCAUCAGGAUAGGCAGCAAAAUCUAAUCUGAGCUCUCAGGCGUAAGCAGUUCAGGGCCUAAUUAUCUGGCCUUUCCUAGAACUGAUUGGCCUUUCCUGGAACUGAAGAAACAGUACCAUCCUGAAUAUGAGUAUAAACUUAUAUACUGGUGCCAUCAUUCAGGGAAGGUUUACACUUCACCAACACCCCCUCCAAGUCUAACAAUUCCUUAUUCACUCAAUAAAUAUAGAAUGAAUUUCCACUAAGUGCCAGACAAUGCCGGGAAUACCUAAGCAAACCAAACAGAUGAAAAUCCUGCCCUUAUGAAGCAUAUAUUUUAAUGGGAGGAUAGAAAAAGUCAAGAAAAUUAAUGUCAGACAUUUACUACAUCCAGUGGCGAUCCAUAGAGGGAGGCAAAACAAGAAAGAGUGCAUGAUUUUAAAUACAUCGAUGAGGAGGAGCCCCACUGCGAAGGUGAUGUUUAGGCAAAGACUUGAAGAAGUGAGGAAGUAAACCACGUAAAAGUCAUGAGGAAGAACAUUCCAGAAACUGAAACAGUAAAUGCAGAGAUCAUGAGAAACCUUUAGAAAUUUAGCAUCCAAAUCGUUGCCAUACAGGCACCAACACCUACCUCGAAAUUGAAACCUAUGCAUAAUAUCAGACUGUUUUGUCGAGAAAUGUGCUUUCAUUAUUUCCACAAGUUCACCAGUUGUCUUAGACUUUUGGAAAACAAGGCGGUGAUGACGGUCUGUUUCUAUGUAUCUUUAGACAUCUUGUUAGGCAUGUUUUUGUUCUUGUUCUCCCUUUUUCUAAAAGAAAAGGUUAUUUCUCACAUGUAUCUGGAGAAGUAAGAGGAAUUAAAUCAGAAUCUUCAGUCUGCCCUGAAACAACCUGCAUAGGUCCAAGCUCAGCUCAGUUUGCAGAGUGGGAACCACGUGUCCUUACCAUGAAUUCUUCUGGUAAAUUACACUGCCUAUUCUUGGUUACUGUAUUACCUUUCUGUGGCUGCUAUAAUAAAUUACCAUAUACUCAGUGGCUUAAAAUAUCAGCUCUGUAGGUUGGAAAUAUGACAUAGGUCUCUCCAGGCUAAAGUCAAGCUCCGUUGACAGGGCCACAUUACUUCCUGUAGGAUCCAUUUUCUUGCUUUUUCCUGCUUCCAGAGGCCAUUCCCAUUCCUUUGUUCAUUGCCUUCUUCCUUCUUCCUCAAGCCUAUCAAAGACAAGGUGAAUCCUUCUCCUACUGUAUCUCUCUGGUGUUGCUUCUGUAAUCACAUCCCCUUCUCUCACUGGUGACUCUCUUUCCCUUCCCUUCUCCACUGGCAAGAAUCCUUAUAAUUAUAUGGACCAACUCACUCACCCAGAAUAUCCUCCAAAUCCCUACUUAAUCAUAUUUGCAAAGUCCCUCAUCCCAUGUAGGGCAACAUAUUUAUAGGUUCUGUGGAUUAAGAUGUGGACAUAUUUGGGGGACAUUAUUCUGCCUCCCACAGUUAGUAUGUUUCUCUCUUGUUUUUUAUUUUUCUUUUUUCAUUUUUCAGGAUCUGAUCUAAAUUGUAUAAGAAAAGUUUGCAUUAGUCACUGCAAAACUUGCAAGAGACAGAAAAGGGCUUACAUAUGGACAAUUAUUAGAAUAAAAACUAUUUUCUAGGAUAAUAUCACCCUAAAAGGGCAGUAAACAAUGAUAGGUUCUAAAAAGAAUGAAACAGUGAAAGAAUUAAGUCAAUCACAGCACCCAGGACACAUUCUCAUAAUGUGUAAAUUGGAGGAAAUUAACUAACCACUCUGAGCCUCAGUUUCUUUAAAAUAACCUUUCAGGGAUUUUAUAAGAAUUAAGAGGAUAAACUGUAUGCAGUAGGGGCUAACAUGGGACUAGUGCACAUUGAGCAUUUACUUGGUUGUUAGUGUUGUUGCUGUUUUUGUGAUUGUUAACUUUUUUCUUUUACUUGCUUUCUAUUACCCCUAGUCUCUGAAUAAAAGCCUAGAUUUUAAAAUAUUUUCUAUACAGGUUAGUCUUAUAUAUUGCAUUUGACCCAAAUAAAUAUUGCUGCUUUUCUCUCCUUCACAGUUUGGGGGACUCUUGAACUCACUAUGCAAAUUAAAUCCAGCCAAAGGCCAAAUCAGUAUGCUGUGGCACAAACCCUGGAGCUAUUUUUAAGAGAACUUCCCUAUGGUCACCGCCCCUCUCGUUUCUUCCCUCUCACAGCUGUUGCUAAGAGGGAAAAUCACCUGGCAGAGAGUGGCAGCAGCAGCUGUCAGUGUAGAGAAAGGCUGUGGCCCAGCAGCCAGAGCUCCUGCCUCCUGCUAAAGGCAGCAGCAGUGAGCUUAGAUCAGGUGGGCAGCAAUACUCAAGAUCAGGCUGCCCCCAGGGCAGCUGAACAUCUGCCUAGUGACCUUCAGGGCCACCUGCCUCUUCACGAAUGGCCUAGGUGGAGGGAAGAGCAGUAGCUACCUGUUGUCGCUCUGCUCCAUUUCUGAUGAGCCUCAAGUCCAUCUCUUAUGCUGGUGUUAAGCCCCAGAUGCCCCAACACUAGAGAUUAUGUAUGUCUACUUUCUGACAGUAGAUAGUUUGGAUGGCAUAGAUUGAGGAGCCUCUGCUCCCUCUAGACCCAUGUACUGAUUUUACUCUUGAGGGGAAUGGAUGUCUAGCUGUCACUAUUUACACUAUUUGCCUUUCUGACCUUUGCUGACAUGAAUCAUGGAGCCACCGAAUGUUCAAUUUGUGUCUUAGAAAUCGCUGACUCCAACCACCUAAAAAAGGGAAAUGAAGGCCUAGAAAGAGACAGCGAUUUUCCCAAAGACAAGAACUCGAACCCCGUUUUGUCUAGCUCCCAAUAACUUUUCUUUUCAUGCACCCCCACCCACAUUCUAUACCCACAGUCUAUGCUGCCUGUCUUUGUAUCUCAAGAUAUAAUUUUUCCAUGGAGGAAGCAGGUGAGUAGCAUGUUAUUGCCAGAAUUUAAUAUUAAACAUUAUUUUCCUGCAGGCAAUAAGAUGCAGUAGUCCUCUGCAGGUGGUUUAGGGCAAUGGCAAGGAUGGUCAGAGAGAAUACCAUAUUUAAGAUGCAGCAUCAUGGACUGAGCUUGGUGGCCACAUGAUAUACAACAGCUGUGUUGGCCUAAGCCUAGCCUUUGGGGACUUCACAGACGGCAGAUGGGUGGCAGAAGGAAAAGUUGGUGAGUGACCAGGGGAAAUGCAAGUCCACAUGUUCCCUCAACCUCUUUAAAAAUGGAUCCACAAUUUCCAUGUUCCCAAACAAUCACCUAUCACUGAUUAAUAAAUUAAAACCAGAAUGGGAGGCUCAAAGGAAAUCUAAAAUGUCAAAUCUGUCUGUUCUGUUAAAAAAGCACCUAGCAAGGAUUGUGUAUAGCUUAAUGGCAGGGACAUGUUUUAUUCACAUUUUUAUUUUUUAUACUAUUUAUAAUCGUGCCUCCCCCCACACGGCCCACCCCCCAGGACUCAACACUGUGCAGUACACAACAGGCACUCAAUACGUGUGUUAACUUGACUGCGUUCUUUUACACUGACCUAAAAUGGGUAAAACUCUCCAUUUCCCUUUUUCAUGAGUUUUCAAGUGGCUCAGGUUCACUUGGCACUACAGACAAUACAAGAGCAAUCAGCCAAGAAUGAAAUGCCCUGAAGACUGGAAAAGCAGACAUUAAAACCACUUGCUGCAGAAAGUCCUCAGCGUGAGGAGGAGGAAAGCGCUGCCCCCGAGCUGCGGAGGGCACCCACCAGGCGGGACACAGCUGCUUCCAGUGAUCUGACGAUCCCAUUAUUCUCCAAGUUUGCUCAGAUUAAUCAGACUCUCCAAAUAUUCUGAGGCUCCCUAACACCCAACUAAUAGCUACAUCAAGGACAAAUUUAUGCUAAUCUGCUCAUGUGUACGCCCCACAGUCAUUAGCUGAGGAGACUGGCUCCUCUGUACAAGAACUAGGGUUUCAUAAGUAGACAACUAAUGGAAAUGUUUCUAAUAAUUCUCCACACUAAUUCUGUAUUGCUUUUAGUGCUCACACAUAUGUGCCUGCAGUUUUUCAUCAAGUAUCUACAGGAUCUUAUUAUGUGGCAAGACGGCUUCUGGUAGACAGUAGCUUCUAAGGGAAAAACAGCUUUUUGAUGGAUGUAGGUUACUCAAGUGUAUUUAAUAGAUUCCACCCAGGGUAGUUUGUCAUCAAGAAUAACAAUACACACAUUCUGAUUUACGUCAGCCUCAUUAAUUAUGUCCUUACCAGUCCAUAUUUUGAAGUAGCUCCAUGUAUGCUGAAUUUACUUUUAAAAUGUUCAUCUUCAUUUAACCGAAAGCCCUGCUGCAGUCCCCACUGAAAUGACUGUUGUUUAUUGGCCGAGCAGAUCAGCUUUACUUUCCCUGCCAAAGGUAAAUACCCAAAAGGAAUCCAAAAUUACACUGAAUGAAAAUCUGGAUGAGCACCAUUUGUGUUUUAAUUUGGAUAAAAACAGUCUUCGAAGGUUAUGUGCUGUGAGGCACAUUUGGCUUAUAAAGUAGGUCGGAGGUUCCUAAAUGACUGAAAUUAUUCCAAGCAAACUGAGUUUUGUCCCAAACUGGUUAUUUUGUGUGGACCAACACAGGAAAAUGAAAGGAUAAGUUGGAAAGCAAUGGUGUGUCUGGUUGGUUUGGUCUCUAAGGAUCAACUGAUUCCUUUAUGAUUCAUUUGCAUGUCACUGUGGCUAGACUAACCCAUCUGUUCUCCUGAUGCCCACCCACCCAGCAGUCACCUUGACAUCUGCCAUCCCAGCCUUCCCACUGCAUCUUCUGCUUACACCCUUGUCUCCUCUCUGGACUUCUUUGCUUCCUUACCUAUUCCAUGGCCUUGGACAAGUCACAAUCUUACUGAUACUCAGUUUUACUAUUAAAAUGGGGAUAAUGGAGAACACCCUUAGGGAUGCCCUAAAGAAUAAAUGAGACAAUGUAGAUAAAGAAGCACCAUGUCUGAAGCAAGGUAAAGACUCAAUUAAUAUGAGUUAAUAUUAUUAUCUUCAUUAUCCUCUUCAAGAAUUGGCACAAAGUAAGGAGCAAGGCAGUAGCAACGUGCUGGAGAAGCUGGGCCCAGAGCUGGGUCAGAAGAGUUGGUUAUUGCAGAAGGAGCUAAGGAAGCCCUUGCAAUAGGAGGAAAGACAAAGAUCGAGGCUUAAUACACAACUGUAAACUGGCACUCUCACCACCCCUGCAGCCUACUGGAGGGCAGAUAUGAAAACAGAGUUGGAACAUUGCACAGACAUAAUGGGUCAUUUUACCACUGGGCGAAUAACAACACAAUGACUUCUAUGAAAGGCUUGGGGUGAAUGUUCCAUCCACUGGACACAAUUCAGUCAUUAAGUCACACUGCUGGGAAUUCUAUAUGCCAUUUUAUUCCAUAUCAAACAGUUGUUUCCUUAGGUAGACUCAUGCUACAAGCUGUCCUAAAUGUUUUUGGUAUUUUUGACUUCCCCUUUAUUGAUGUUUAGAAUAAAGGUGUGUAUGCCCAAUGAGAAAAGAAAAGAAAAAAAAAGACAAAAAACCCAUUUUGUCUAUAUUGAUCUGAGCUUAGAAAGUUACAAGUCGGUCACUGACAACCACACCUGGGGGCUCCACAGGGCUAGGAGAAGGCAGCACAGGUACCAUCUUCUUCCCAGUGCGAGUUCCGCCCUAACCCUGGUGGGCUCCUGGUCACAUCCCCCUGAGUUUCUUCUCACUGCAUCAUUCCCAUUACUUACCGAUACUGCCUUAGUCAUUAACUGUUCCCUUUUAAAGUGAUCUUGUUAGAGUAUAAAUCAGAUCAUGUCAUUUCGCUUACACAGAACCAUUACACUUUAGAGUAAAAUCCAAAACUCUUACUGCAGGCUACAAGGACCAGAAUGUUCUGGUCCUUCUUCACAUCUCCAAACUCAUCCACAUCUCAUUUCAGCCCUACCAUGAUUUACCUUCUGUCCUUGCAACAUGCCAACCUCCUUCCUUUCUCAUUUGUGUUGGCUUUCCUCUCUGCAUGAAACUAUCACUCCGUUGCCCCUCCCCUGGCCCCUUGUAUUCAUCUUAAAUGACCCCUUCAUAGAGCGGCUCCCUUCAUCACACUACAGAAAGGAACCCUUAGCUAACACCCUUAGUAACUCUCUACCUCAUCAGUAUUUUAGUCAGCCUGAGAGUGUUUAUCACAAUGGGCACUCAUUUUGUAUAUUUAUUUCCUUAUUUUGUUAUGACUGUAGCUGUUUGCGGAGAGAAACCUGUAAGUCCCUGCUGUGGCCAUGGCACCUGGGCCAGUGCCUGGAAUUGAGUAGAUGUGAAUUAAGUAUUCAAUGAAUGAGUAAAUACAUGCUUCCUUCGAGGUUUUCCAUUUUAUGCAAAACAGCAUGUCAUUUGAUAAUUAUGCUCAUGAUCUCUUUAUAAACAUUUUUGUGGGGGGUAGAAAUAGUAUCGCACAGAUCACAGUGAGAGGAAAAAAAGUAAUGGGUUAUACAAAAAAGCUAGAACUGAUGAGUGCUAAAUCACUGAAAACAGUGGCUUAAAUGAGAGUUUCUGAAAUCCAGUGCAAGACACUAAGCCGAGGACUAAUAGAUAUUUGUAGUUGAAACGUCUGUUUUAUAAAGCAAUUGAGAAAUCAUAAAAAUGUCUUGUGCCUUUAGGGCCUAAAUAUCCCAAGACAAAUAUAUAUUUUUAAAUAUAUUAUUUAUUCCUUUUCAAAGAAUCUGAAUUCCACUAUAAUUCAGAAUUCCACUCGGCAUUCCACUAUAUAUCACUGAUGGUAAUCUAUUCACCAAACUGGCUUGCAACAGGGAAUUCUGGCUGAGGUUUGUGUGCCCUUAAA